AUGGUUUUACUCGACAAGACCGGCUCACCAGCGCCUUCCAUGGGGACAGGGACGGCGACGAACAUGGACAACUCUAUCCCUGGGUUGAUUGGAUGUUACAUUCUGAUAGCAAGGAGAGAUGAAGUCAAGGCGAACUGUGUGGUCGACAACUACUUUGUGGUGUUGUGCUCUGUGGACAUCAACUGGACAUCUCCAACUUCAUCGCUGAAGCAGGAGCUCCCGAGUUUGGGUCAUGAUCUUGCCAUGAUGUGGGAUAAACAAGGUCUCACCGAUGUUUCCUUCCAUGUUGGCGGGGAGAGCUUCAGCGCACAUCGCCUUGUGCUUGCUACCCGAUUGUCAGUCUACAGAGCAGAGCUUUAUGGUCUGAUGGCUGAAAGCAAGAUGGCAUCUAUCACCAUCCAUGACAUGAAAGCCUCUACCUUCAAAUUUAUGCUCUAUUACAUAUAUCAUGGUUCACUCCCUGAUGCUGGCAAGGCAGAUAUUUCUUCCCCCAUGGCACAGUACCAGCAUCUGCUUGUAGCCGCUGAUAGGUAUGGGGUGGAGGGGCUAAAGAAGAUCUGUGAGGACAAGCUAUGUUGCAAUGGUAUCACGACGGACACUGUGGUUUCAAUGUUGGAACUUGCGGAGGCCCAUGUCUGCCCCAAACUCAAAGCUAGGUGCUUUGAUUUCCUCACCGAUGGUGACAAUUUCAAGAUGGUCGUGACGUCAAGUGAGUACCUCCAUUUGAUGUAG
rnacentral:rRNA from 1 species